rnacentral:rRNA from 1 species
UACAGAGGUCUCAAGCGUUGUUCGGAUUCAUUGGGCGUAAAGGGUGCGUAGGCGGCGCGGUAAGUCGGGUGUGAAAAGUCACAGGCUCAACCUGUGAAUGCCGCUGGAAACUGUCUGGCUCGAGUCCGGGAGGGGCGAGUGGAAUUCCUGGUGUAGCGGUGAAAUGCGCAGAUAUCAGGAGGAACACCAAUGGGCGAAGGCAGCUCGCUGGAACGGUACUGACGCUGGAGGCGACGGAAAGCGUGGGGAGCGAACAGG